UGAAAGCCACAGGGCAGCAGGGGAAGAGUUGAACCUAUAACCAUCUGCCAUCGAAUUAAGGCACCUGCCUACAGUACAGACCAGCUACUCCCAAGUGUUCCACUCCCUCCGCCAAGUGAGGAUCUUCCUAACGCUUAGGAGGCCUUCGGAAGGACAACAGAAUAAGGAAUGGGAGGAGCAGUCAGGAAAAGAGGGAGGCAGAAGUAAAGGGGCUGUGUCUGUCCUGAGCCUGGAGCCACCAUCGGAGAGGAUGGAGAGCAUGAAGAGCAGGAACUCAACCUUAACCCUGCCUUGAACCCAGCUUCCAGUCCAGACCUGGGGGCAGCACACAUCUGUCCCUGGCUGGAGGAGAGGAGUGCACACGGCAGUCCAACCAGGCAUGAUUUCAGCGGGAUGAUCUCCACAAUAGAAGUAUGGUACCCUGAGACCAUGUGGAAAACACUGGCUGAUGUACCAUGGCUGACGGUGGCUGGAGACAAAAUCACGGGACUCCUGUGCUCCGGAAGGUGCCCCUCUUUCUGGCUGUCUGCUCUUGGCCUCUCAGAUGCUCUAGCUAUUGGAAGAGGACUCCCCAGCCUCCCCUGAAAACUUCCAGCUUUCCAGGGAUCCUGAGACAGGAAGCGAGCAAGUGGCCUGCAAAAGGGAGCAGCAAAUCUGGCGUGUUUUGCCAGGGAUGGUCCCAUCCUGAGGCCUGGAGAAUAAGACUUCCACAAAUGGAUCUGGCCGAACAUGAUUCAACACAGAACGCAUUGUUUCCAUAGAUGAGAGGCUUUGCUCCCUCAAGCCCUUCCACCAGGAUGUUCUGCUUCACUGCAUACCCACAAACAAAAGAUCCAGGUGACCAUUGACUGAAACUUCUGCAACAUAAGCCAAAACAAAACUUUCCUCACUUAAAUUGUUUUUCUCAGGUAUUUUCUUACAGCAAAGGAAAACUGACAGGCAUGGGGCCCUUGAGAGAUGAUUAGCUCAUGAGUGUAGAAACAUCCCCAAUGAUAUCCAACCCUGUGAAGAGACUCCAGAAACUCCCACUACCCCAUCUGCCAUAGACACAGUGAGAAGGUACCCACAAGCCAGAAAUGGGACCACACUAGACACCAAACACACAGGUGCCUUGACCUCUGGCUUCCCCAGUUCAUAGUUCCUCCGGAACUAUGAACAAUUGAUUGCUGAUUUUUAUAUGCAAUCAGGCCGUGGCAUUUUGUUAGAGUGGCCUGAAUGAAUCAAGACAGCACUGGGAAGAAGUGGGAGGACCGUUGUAACAAAUUCCUUCUGUAGUAGAAGCAACUUUGGAUAUGGGUAGUAAGUCAAUGCUGGAAGAGCUUUGGCCUCAUGCUAGAAAAGCCUGCAUUGCCAAGAAAUGACACUUAAAGGUGAGUGUAGUGCCAACGCAAAAGAAAAAAAAAAUGAAGAAGAAGGAGAAGGGGAAGAAGAAGGAGAAGGAGAAGCAGAAAGAGAAG